GAUGAACGCUGGCGGCGUGCCUAAUACAUGCAAGUCGAGCGAAUGGAUUAAGAGCUUGCUCUUAUGAAGUUAGCGGCGGACGGGUGAGUAACACGUGGGUAACCUGCCCAUAAGACUGGGAUAACUCCGGGAAACCGGGGCUAAUACCGGAAAACAUUUUGAACCGCAUGGUUCGAAAUUGAAAGGCGGCUUCGGCUGGCACUUAUGGAUGGACCCGCGUCGCAUUAGCUAGUUGGUGAGGUAACGGCUCACCAAGGCAACGAUGCGUAGCCGACCUGAGAGGGUGAUCGGCCUCACUGGGACUGAGACACGGCCCAGACUCCUACGGGAGGCAGCAGUAGGGAAUCUUCCGCAAUGGACGAAAGUCUGACGGAGCAACGCCGCGUGAGUGAUGAAGGCUUUCGGGUCGUAAAACUCUGUUGUUAGGGAAGAACAAGUGCUAGUUGAAUAAGCUGACACCUUGACGGUACCUAACCAGAAAGCCACGGCUAACUACGUGCCAGCCGCCGCAGUAA
rnacentral:rRNA from 1 species